CGUAAAUACAAUGUAUUUGCGAUCUAUUUCUUCAAUUUCUGCACUGAAGUUUUUAUCUUUUUAAAUUUUCUUCUACAAAUAUCUAUCUUCUUGAUGAUCAUGUAAGCUAUUACAUGAUAACAUAGUCCGAUAAGGCUGAGAUAAGCGUGGCUUAGGUAAAACUAAUUAUCAGUUAUUGCGUAACACUGAUCGACCUCUCAGCGGUGAUCAGCAACUUGACAAUUUUAACCAACAUUUAUAAUGAAAAUGUGAAAAUUAACACGCUGCGGGAUCAAGUAUUAAGGGACAGCGGACAAUUAAGACGCUGCGGGAUCUUCGAAAAUAUUAUGAAGGCGCUGCGGCACCGCAGCGUCAUAUCGGCCUGGGGAGAACACUGACUUCUUUAUGUUCGUAAAAUCAGAAGAUAAAAACAGAACAUCGAAGAUAGAUUAACUGUAUCUCUUAUGCGCUUUCUUUUAAUCUUAUUCACAGUUACUUUCAAACGCAAAGACGAC
rnacentral:lncRNA from 1 species